rnacentral:rRNA from 1 species
GAUGAACGCUGGCGGCGUGCCUAAUACAUGCAAGUCGAGCGAACAGACGAGGAGCUUGCUCCUCUGACGUUAGCGGCGGACGGGUGAGUAACACGUGGAUAACCUCCCUAUAAGACUGGGAUAACUUCGGGAAACCGGAGCUAAUACCGGAUAAUAUAUUGAACCGCAUGGUUCAAUAGUGAAAGACGGUUUUGCUGUCACUUAUAGAUGGAUCCGCGCCGCAUUAGCUAGUUGGUAAGGUAACGGCUUACCAAGGCAACGAUGCGUAGCCGACCUGAGAGGGUGAUCGGCCACACUGGAACUGAGACACGGUCCAGACUCCUAAGGGAGGCAGCAGUAGGGAAUCUUCCGCAAUGGGCGAAAGCUUGACGGAGCAACGCCGCGUGAGUGAUGAAGGUCCUCGGAUCGUAAAACUCUGUUAUUAGGGAAGAACAAAUGUGUAAGUAACUAUGCACGUCUUGACGGUACCUAAUCAGAAAGCCACGGCUAACUACGUG